UACAGAGAGUGCAAACGUUGUUCGGAAUUACUGGGCUUAAAGCGCACGUAGGCGGUGUCGUAAGUGUCUGGUGAAAUCCCACGGCUCACCCGUGGAACUGCCAGGCAUACUGCGAUGCUCGAGUGUGGUAGGGGAGAGCGGAACUCCUGGUGGAGCGGUGAAAUGCGUAGAUAUCAGGAGGAACACCGGUGGCGAAGGCGGCUCUCUGGUCCACAACUGACGCUGAGGUGCGAAAGCUAGGGGAGCAAACGGG
rnacentral:rRNA from 1 species